UUCCGGGAGGACGUUUGAAGCGGGCAUCGAUAUCGUGAUUCGGGUCCGACCAUUGCAGUGAUGGGUUUGAACGUUAGCUUCUGGGGGAACUCAAACUCAAGCACAGGACUUCCAGAACUAGGGAACUGUGGAGGUGGGCAAAAAACGUUUCCACAUAAAUAAUGUUUCUAAAAUUCCCAAGAAGAUCAAGAGGGUUCCCUGAGGACGUAGCACAAUGGAUGAAAAAUUACCCACAUUUGAGGAAUUACUCAUUUUUACCCCUGGGUAUAUCCCAUAUAUAUGUGAAGUGCACUUGUUAAUAAAAUUAUGUGUUGUUGUUUUCUUGUUAA